UACGGAGGGAGCGAGCGUUGUCCGGAUUUACUGGGCGUAAAGAGCGCGCAGGCGGUCGUUCAAGUCGCGUGUGAAAGCCCCCGGCUCAACUGGGGAGGGUCACGCGAUACUGAUCGACUCGAAGGCAGGAGAGGGUAGUGGAAUUCCCGGUGUAGUGGUGAAAUGCGUAGAUAUCGGGAGGAACACCAGUGGCGAAGGCGACUACCUGGCCUGUUCUUGACGCUGAGGCGCGAAAGCUAGGGGAGCAAACGGG
rnacentral:rRNA from 1 species